GUCACUUUCGUGCAUGCAGUCAAGCGUGUACGUCUGCAGACUGCAAGACAGGGGCGUAACUUGAAAGAGGCGUAACUUGAAGUAGGAGGCGUAACUUGAAGUUGUCGAAAUCUCACAGAAUCACGCGAGAUGUCAAAAUGAUAAGUUGUUGGCAAUAUGGCUGCUUUCAGUAGGGCACAGAGUAGAAUAUUGAUUACGUUUUUUUUUUUUAAGGAAAGCAGGGGUUUUAGGCAGGAUUUGAUGCAUAAGGUGUGUGUAGAUAUUAAUGUUAGGGGACAAUGUGAGUGAUGUGUACGUUUAGUAGGAACACCUAUUAUCUGAUCCACACUCCGGGACAGAAGAGGGCGGUAUUGCACCAAUAAGCUGGAUGCCAACCGCCGUUAAACUGGAAAGAAGUUACAAUGAGUUACAAUCAUGGUUACAAUGGAACAGAUUGUUUAUCUGCUGUAGAGUGACUGAUGAAGGAAUGCUGCCAUCAAAGGAUUUGUAUCUUUUGUGGUGGAGCAGGACCUGCAAGGAAAGGGGAAAAAAAAGGAAAAACCUGAAACAAAAGAAUAAAGUAAUGACUUUUUGUAUUGUGUGUGUGUAUUUCUGUAGGUUAUGAAAAUGUCUGCAGAUUGGUGUGUGCACUGAGGAUGGAGAAGUCCACUGCAGCAUCCGGAAAUGGUCCAGAGACACGGAUGAGACGCUCCAUCACUCCAGCUCUUACUGUCUCAUCAGGACCAGAUGCUGCUGUGGUCUCUUCAUCACUCAGAUUGUCCUGCAUGUGUUCUUCUGCUCUCGUUUCAAGGUUGUGUGGUUCAGAGAGCCGUCAUUAAGGUCUUCCUCAUCCUGUUGCUCAACGACAUCCCCGUUGAGAAGAGUGAGAUUGUGAAGCACAGCGCAGCAGCAGAACUGUCUCAGCUGUGUUGAGAUGAUAGUAAGAUGUGGG